GCUAAACGCGAAGAACCUUACCUACCUUUGAAUCCACGGAACCUAGCAGAGAUGUUGGGGUGCCUUCGGGAACCGUGAGACAGGUGCUGCAUGGCUGUCGUCAGCUCGUGUCGUGAGAUGUUGGGUUAAGUCCCGUAACGAGCGCAACCCUUGUCCUUAGUUGCCAUCAGGUUAUGCUGGGCACUUUAAGGAGACUGCCGGUGAUAAACCGGAGGAAGGUGGGGAUGACGUCAAGUCCUCAUGGCCCUUACAGGUAGGGCUACACACGUGCUACAAUGGCGACUACAGAGGGUUGCGAACCAGCGAUGGGGAGCCAAUCCCUAAAAGUCGUCUCAGUUCGGAUUGCACUCUGCAACUCGAGUGCAUGAAGUCGGAAUCGCUAGUAAUCGCGGAUCAGCUAUGCCGCGGUGAAUACGUUCCCGGGUCUUGUACACACCG
rnacentral:rRNA from 1 species